CGUCCCAUUUUUGUAAAUAGCAGUAUUACUCUUAGAUACUUAACCUCAUUAAAAAUACUCUUAUUUCAAGUACUUUUGGAUUUAUGUUAAAUGUAAUCACUUAAUAAAAUGAGCUCUAGGAGGCACCACCUGACAAAUAGCAUUGUGUCUGGGAUGUGACCCCCAUCCCAUCAAGGAGCCCUGGUGGGAUGCAGAACUCCUUUUCUGCCCUCAAGUGAUGUACACGAGUGUGUACGUGUGCCCAUGCGUGUUCAUGUGCAUGUUCAUGUGCAUGUUCUUGCUCCUCUGGGCAGACAGGAGUCCGGGAGCCCUGGUGAUGGUCCAGCAUCAUCCCCAAAGCUGCAGUGUCUUCAGCCCCCAACCCUCCUUCUGCCCAAGGGCUGACCCUGCCUGCACCUCGCAGUAUCCCCCAGUGAUGGCCACCCUGGACCCCCUCCUGCAGUUUGUCCACUUGUGAUGUUUCCUUGUCCUCUACAAGAAAUCCUGAUUUGGCACAGGAACAAGCUGGUGUUUCACAACAUGCUGGGAAUUGCAUUUUGCCCAAAAUAAUUUGGCAUUUAUAGCCCGUUGGUGCAGAUGGUCUUGUGUGCCGAGUUAUUUCUGGGCGCCAGCACUGCUGGCAGCGAUGCUGGAUGCUGAGUCGGGGAUCCCCCCUUGGGAUCCGGCACUUGGCUCUCGAGGUGCUACCGAGCCCUUGUGCAUGGAGAUAAGUGAUUAAAUACAGCAUUUGCACUGCCAGGGGGUGCUGCCAUUUGGGGUCACCUGGCUGAUAGUUUCUUAGAGAAAGCCUGAAAUCUGUUGCAAGCAAUGAGAUGCUUUUAGAAAUGGAAAAAAAAAAAAAUCUAACUUUAAUUGUCAGAUUUAUUCUGGAGAAAAGACUAAAUCAAAACAGAAUUGGUGAACAAGGAGUUUCUUGUUUAUUCCCAUUUUGUAUUUAUUUUAGUCUCCUCAAGCUGUCCCUUGAAAUUGAAUUUGCUCAGCAUUGAUGUAGCUGCUGCCAGGAGGCUGCUUUGAGUCGCCUGUGGAGGGCUUGGACUUCACCGGGGUGUGCUGUAUGGGGAGGGAAACUUCACAUUUAAUAGCCAGAGGUGAAAUAUUUCCUUCCAAAAAGCCUGGCUGGGUCUGUUCUCCCUGGUUGUUUGGACCAGGGGAGAAGACAUGAUUGAUAGGAGCCUGCUUAUUUUUGAUGGCAAAAGACCCAGUUAGAGAGUGCCAAGGAGUGGGUAGUGGGAUGUCAAGUACUUUCUCACAUUUUACAGAUGGUUUAUGUAACCUUCUUGUCUAUAUUAUUAUAUUUUUUUCCCAUAUAGUUACAUAAUCCUAAUUUAUGAAAGCUUUAGGAAAUUGCAUUCCCCACUGUGAUGUGAGUGUCUGUAUAUAAUGGCCUCUGAGCUUGUUAGGAUGCAGCGCUUGGCCCUUCUGCCAACCAUCUCCCAAGAAGCUCAGGCAGGUGUGGAAUAGCUAUUUAUACAUUUAUUGUAUUUCCUUAAUUAUUUUCUUUUAGCCAUCAUCGAAAGCUGUUUUAGCCCCUCAGGAGGGGUGCACACCCUCAGGAGGGGUGCAGGCUGUUGCCUCUCCCUGCUGAUGCAGAGCAGAGGCUUUGCUGCUGGCUCCUGCAUUCCUCUUUUUUCCAGUAUUUUUGAAACCUGUUGCCUGUGGCAGAAUCUUGCUGUGAUUUUUGUGAUGGGAGCAGCUGAAAUCCAUGCUGGGGCCAGGGAUGGCUUUGGGGGCCAGGAGCUGUAGAACAUCGAUGUGUAAAAUAUCCUCAACUGCAUCGUGUCCCUAGCACCUUCUUCCCUUGGAAGAGCAACAACCCAUAAAUGUUUAUGGCUUUUGCUCUCCCCAGUAUACAUUCAUCUUUUGAAAUAAGGGAGGAAGAAAAGAAAACGCUGCCUUUUUUUUUUUCCAUUUCACAUGAAAGCAGAAGGUGUUGUGUCUCUGGGUCCCCGCACUGGAGGGGAUGGACCACAGGCUGCCAAUGGGAUGCUUGCAAGAGAGUUCAAAGGAUUUUUAUCUGUGACUUUUUUUAUUUUGAAGCAACCUGGAAAAAGCACCAAGCAAGCAUUUCCUUGCUGUUACCUUGCUAGGUAACUAGCAAAAGAGCCAGAUUAUUUUUAAUGGGUUUAUAUUGUAAACUGGGAGGAUAAAACCACCCCUCUCUGGAAGUCUUUUGUGUGUUGUUGGCAUGGGUGUGUUUACCUCACUCUGGGGGAUGCAGAGAGACUGAACCCAACUUGCUUUCGCCUGAAAUAUUUUUUCUGGCAGGGAUUAGUGACCCGUCCUGCUCACUUGUUCCUCUCUCUGCAGCUGAAAUUGAGGGCAGCCUCUUAUUUCACAUAUUUAAAAAAAAGAUAGUUAUGACUUGGAUCUUAACUAAAACCAUUUCAGAAGCUUAAAAAUAUUAGCUAGGCAGAAUGGUUAAGCAAGUGUGAUGGGAACAUACACAGUUGUAUUUGAGUUAGUUGCAUGCAGUAGUUUUCUCACUUUGUUACUCUUCAUUGUUUAAAAACCUUUCCUUGCUGCUGCUCUUCUGUUAAUAGAUUGAUACGUUCUGGUUCCUGGGAGGUGAUUGGUGACUGCAUCCCCCACUGAGGUGUCCCCACGGGAUGGGUGGCACCGUUUUGCCUGGGAGAAGCUCGGGAGAUACUGGGGUUUCCGUGGGCAGAAGGUGUUAAACCUAGAGCAGGGACUGGCCGUAGAUAAAGGAGAGCAGGGAGUUUGCUUCGGUCCCUAGUGAGUCAGGGCUCACCCUGGGCAUGAUGGAGGUUUGUUAGAGUGCUGGGCAAUUAAAGCAGCUCUGUUUGCAUUUUGGUUUUUUGUUUGAAUAAAAGUUGCCAUGCCCGGCCUGCUGGGAUGUUGGCUGCUUGCACAAUGUGUGUGCUAGGAAGUAAAUCGAUCCAUGUGAGCAAUAGUUUCAAUUUUAUGGCUUCCCUGUUUAAGGAGGGAGGAAAAAGUCAAGUGGCUAGGAUUAAAAAAAAGAAAAAAAUUAAUAUUUAAUUCAAACUGUGAUGCGUGAGUGUGAGAAAUGGCACUCGAUGUCUGGGUGCAUCCUUAUGUGUUGGGAUGGAGCUGAGGAUUACAUGGAGCUGCCUUGUUGGUCUUAAGAAGGUCAUAUUUUGUUAGUAAUCCCAAUUUGAAUUUAUUAUCACCAUCUACUGGGUCUGUGCUCAGCAGUUGGCAUUGUAGGUGUCUUAAAACACUCUUGUCUGGGUAAAAUUGCUGCUCUGGUCUUCCCUCUCCUGCUGCACAGGGACAGUUUGCUCAGCAAGAAGAUAUUUUACCCGAUAAAGUAAUUCUUGUGAUCAAAGGGGAACUGGAACCCCGGUGGGACAGUGGAGAGAGCCAGCUGCUAUGCUAAUUGGGUUGUUCUUCAUUAUCAGUCAGCAGGUGUGGUGGGGAUGAAGGAUGGAGGUGCAGCCCCAUGCUGCUGCCCAGUUUGAGGGGCUGGGAUUCGGGGUGAUGCUCACUAGCAUUCAUGGCCCCACAUCUUCCUGCUAUGCAUUUAGCUUUGUUGUUUUUUAGCCUGACCUUUGCAUUGUAAAGAAACUCCCUCCCGGGUUGCAAUCUGAAACUUUUAGGGCUGUUGUGGUGCGUGGAAGUGCAAGCACUUUGUGCUAAGUGAGUCUUAAAAAACUAAACACCAGAGCAGCCAACUCUUAUUUUUCCAUCCUGCUAAUUUUCAUCCUAGUAAAAAAAUUGGACCAAAUAUAGCCUUGGUUUAUUUUUUUAAAAGCAGAUGGUAAGAUGCUAAACACUGUUUGUGGAAACAGCAAGUCAAAACAUCUUCCCAUGGCUGCAAUGAGCAGAGGAGCUGCCAUGGGAAAUUUUCGCCAUAGUCUCAUCACCCCUCUCUGACCAUGGUGGAGCAUCAUCUGUAGCUCAAAACUGCUGUCUCAGUUCUCCCUUCUUCUUAAAUCCUGAAAUACUCUUUUAGAAUACAGCACAUGUGGUUUCUUUCCCCCCCACCCCCACCUCUUCUUACCAGGUGUUUUCCCACUGUGUCUCUGGGUGAACACCUCCCCAGACUCUCCCUGGACCUUCAAUCCUUCUCCAGCAAUUGCAUGGUGGCAAGGAAACGUGGCUUGGGGUCGGGAUCGUGUGGUUGGUGAAACCCUAACAUGUGUGAUACCUGCCUGUCCUCAGCCUGGGGUCAGACAUCUGCAUCCAGUUCU